UCCCUGGUGGCUCAGAUGGUAGAGCAUCUGUCUACAAUGUGGGAGACCCUGGUUCAAUUCCUGGGUCGGGAA
rnacentral:tRNA from 1 species